UGGGGAAUCUUGGACAAUGGGCGCAAGCCUGACCCAGCAACGCCGCGUGAAGGAUGAAGUAUUUCGGUAUGUAAACUUCGAAAGAAUAGGAAGAAUAAAUGACGGUACUAUUUAUAAGGUCCGGCUAACUACGUGCCAGCAGCCGCGGUAAUACGUAGGGACCAAGCGUUGUUCGGAUUUACUGGGCGUAAAGGGCGCGUAGGCGGCAUGACAAGUCACUUGUGAAAUCUCUGGGCUUAACCCAGAACGGCCAAGUGAUACUGUCGCGCUAGAGUGCAGAAGGGGCAAUCGGAAUUCUUGGUGUAGCGGUGAAAUGCGUAGAUAUCAAGAGGAACACCUGAGGUGAAGACAGGUUGCUGGGCUGACACUGACGCUGAGGUGCGAAAGCUAGGGGAGCGAACAGGAUUAGAUACCCGGGUAGUCCCUGAGCGGGCUGGCAAGGCGCAU
rnacentral:rRNA from 1 species